GCAUAUCAAUAAGCGGAGGAAAAGAAACCAACAGGGAUUGCCUUAGUAACGGCGAGUGAAGCGGCAACAGCUCAAAUUUGAAAUCUGGCCCUUUUAGGGUCCGAGUUGUAAUUUGCAGAGGGCGCUUUGGCUUUGGCAGCGGUCCAAGUUCCUUGGAACAGGACGUCACAGAGGGUGAGAAUCCCGUACGUGGUCGCUAGCUAUUGCCGUGUAAAGCCCCUUCGACGAGUCGAGUUGUUUGGGAAUGCAGCUCUAAAUGGGAGGUAAAUUUCUUCUAAAGCUAAAUAUUGGCCAGAGACCGAUAGCGCACAAGUAGAGUGAUCGAAAGAUGAAAAGCACUUUGGAAAGAGAGUCAAACAGCACGUGAAAUUGUUGAAAGGGAAGCGCUUGCAGCCAGACUUGCUUGCAGUUGCUCAUCCGGGCUUUUGCCCGGUGCACUCUUCUGCAGGCAGGCCAGCAUCAGUUUGGGCGGUGGGAUAAAGGUCUCUGACACGUUCCUUCCUUCGGGUUGGCCAUAUAGGGGAGACGUCAUACCACCAGCCUGGACUGAGGUCCGCGCAUCUGCUAGGAUGCUGGCGUAAUGGCUGUAAGCGGCCCGUCUUGAAACACGGACCAAGGAGUCUAACAUCUAUGCGAGUGUUUGGGUGUCAAGCCCGAGCGCGUAAUGAAAGUGAACGGAGGUGGGAACCCGCAAGGGCGCACCAUCGACCGAUCCUGAAGUUUACGGAAGGAUUUGAGUAAGAGCAUGGCUGUUGGGACCCGAAAGAUGGUGAACUAUGCUUGAAUAGGGUGAAGCCAGAGGAAACUCUGGUGGAGGCUCGCAGCGGUUCUGACGUGCAAAUCGAUCGUCAAAUUUGGGCAUAGGGGGCGAAAGACUAAUCGAACUAUCUAGUAGCUGGUUCCUGCGA
rnacentral:rRNA from 1 species